CUGGGUUUCGCUUUCAGUUUUGACCUUUCAGCUUGCUGUACAGACUGCUACCACGCCGGCUGUGAGAAUAAAUACAUCCUUGUAAGCCACAUGGCUUGUGGUGUUAUAGGGUAUCUAGGGGCAGUGUGGCACCCAAAUAUUUCUGGAGUGAACCUCAACUCUGUCGUCCUUACUUCAAGGACAGAACAUGCAGAGAAAUGCAUACGAACAAUCUUCCCCAACUUCAGAUCAGCGGUCCAACCUGGAGUUCAUCUCACCCCUGAUGGAAAAUCAUAGGUCUGCUUUUUCAUCUCAGUGCCUCCUGGCAGCCUGGAGUGCCCACCCCACUGUGACCCAGGAAAAACAAUCUUCAGAGCUCCUCUUCCAGCUUCCCAUCCCAAGAGAAGAGCUGCUUCCUGAUGUUGUCCCUGCCCUUGGAGGACUGUUUAAAUGGACUUCUCAAUAAACCAUGGCUGCUCGGCAUCAGCUGGGAGCCCUUCUGAG
rnacentral:lncRNA from 1 species